rnacentral:lncRNA from 10 species
AGUAGGUGAGCUUCUCCAUCCCUGUCUGUCUAGAUGCAGAGAACCCAAAGCCCUGCAGGAUGGCAAAGCUGCAACAUGGAAGUCACCCGGAUCACCACGUAAAGGAAAUCUCUCCAACCAGGAACAAACACCUGCCUUGCAAUAUUAGGUGGCCACCAGACUUUCUCUGCUUGUAUCCUCCCAGGACCACAGAACUCAUCGCAUCCCAAGGCAGCCUAUUCCAUCAUGGAUGAGCUCAAAGUGUUUGAAAGUUCUGCUUUAUCAAAACUCUUGAUGGCCUGCUUCCCAUCCUCCAUCCUGGAAGACUGAUCUGAAACCCCAGGAGGAGGUCCUCUGAGCCCUGAGGCAGAGAUCUCUCACCUGGAAGAUGGGUCUAAUGACUGCGCCCCACACACACCAGAGAGGACUGCAGAUAGUGCGGGAUGAGAGGAAGAUCUCUGGCCCUGGAGACAGCAUCAUCAAGCGGUAGCUUCAUCUUUGGGAGCUGGGGCCUCUGCAGGAGCUUUACCCUCCUCUCUCCAUGCUGAGCCUGUCUCAACCCCCUAACCUGCACCCCAGUCUUUUGGGGUCACCUCAAGGCUUUGGCUGAUGCUUCUUUGCUGACGUCAACCAAGGUGAUGGACCCAUUUGUCCUUGUAAAGUAACUCUUGAACAUACAGGCACUUCUCCCUCCCUCCUCUUGCUUUGAAGGGUGGGUGGGCACCUGCCACCAUGGUCAGGGUGAGGGCCAGCCCCAUACCCCCAAUGUCAGAAGGCAGCUGCCCCUGGCCUGUGGGUUUAUCUCAGAGGGGCCAGGUUUUCCUCACUGUGUGUCCCCAGCACCUAGCCUGGGGCCCAGCCCAGGGUCACACUCAGUAAAUACUGGCUGAGAAUUAAGGGGGAACUUUCUCGUUCCCCUCCAACACUUUUCUUUUCUUUUUUUUGAGACAGAGUCUCACUCUGUCGCCCAGGCUGGAGUGCAGUGGCGCGAUCUCGGCUCACUGCAACCUCCACCUCCCAGAUUCAAGAGAACUGCUGGAACCCAGGAGGCAGAGGUUGCAGUGAGCCGAAUCCGUGUCAUUGCACUCCAGCCCAGGCCAACAACAGCAAGAAUUCGUAUUAAAAAAAAGGCUGGUGAGAGGGGCGUGGAGGUUGAGGGGUGUGGUAAACUGUAGGAGAUAACGAUUUUAUGUUGUGUGUGUGCUAUGGUUUGGAUGUGGUUUGUCUCCUCCAAAAUGCAUGUAGAAACUUGGUCCCCAAUGUAAUGGUAUUGGGAGGUGGGGCCUUUAAGAGGGGAUUAGGUCAUUAGGAGGGAUUAAUGCCUUUCUCACAGGAGUGGGUUAAUUCUCACAGAAGUGGGUGAGUUAUUGAGAGCAGUUCAUUACAAAAGUGAGUUUGGCUUCCUCGGCUUUCUCUUGCUUCCUCGGCUUUCUCUUGCUUCCUCUCACCCUACGAUGCAUUCUGCUGUGUUACAACACAGCACGAGGCCCUCACCAGAAGCUGACCAGAUCCAGCCACCCUGUCUUGGACUUCCCAGCCUCCAGAACUGUAAAAAACAAACCCCUUUUCUUUGUCAAUUACCCAGUCCCAUGGGUUCUAUGACAGCAACAGAAAGUGGACAAAUUGUGUAACAUGCACAUGUCCAGGAGGGUGUGUGAGAGGUAAUCCUGUUGUUACGGUUGUUCUGUAGGGUGACCACAAUUGGGAAUUUCCCUGGGACUGUUUUGGUUUUAGCACUGAAAACUCUGUAUUUCAAUAAACUAC